rnacentral:rRNA from 1 species
UACGGAGGGUGCGAGCGUUGUCCGGAAUCAUUGGGCGUAAAGGGCGCGUAGGUGGCCCGGUCAGUUCGUGGUGAAAGCGCGGGGCUCAACCCUGCGUCGGCCAUGAAUACUGCCGCGGCUGGAGCACUGUAGAAGGCAGGCGGAAUUCCGGGUGUAGCGGUGGAAUGCGUAGAGAUCCGGAAGAACACCGGUGGCGAAGGCGGCCUGCUGGGCAGUUGCUGACACUGAGGCGCGACAGCGUGGGGAGCAAACAGG